rnacentral:rRNA from 1 species
AACGAACGCUGGCGGCGUGCCUAACACAUGCAAGUCGAACGGGAUUAGGGGCUUGCUCCUAAUCUAGUGGCGCACGGGUGAGUAACGCGUAGAUAAUCUGCCUGAUGAUCCGGGAUAACACUUCGAAAGAGGUGCUAAUACCGGAUAAGCCCACGGGUUCUUUGGAAUCUGCGGGAAAAGGGGGGGACCUUCGGGCCUUCUGUCAUCAGAUGAGUCUGCGUACCAUUAGCUAGUUGGUAGGGUAAAGGCCUACCAAGGCGACGAUGGUUAGCUGGUCUGAGAGGAUGAGCAGCCACACUGGAACUGGGACACGGGCCAGACUCCGACGGGAGGCAGCAGUGGGGAAUUUUGCGCAAUGGGCGAAGGCCUGACGCAGCAACGCCGCGUGAGUGAUGAAGGCUUUCGGGUCGUAAAGCUCUGUCAAUGGGAAAGAAGUGUACGAGGGCUAAUAUCCUUUGUAUUUGACGGUACCCAUAAAGGAAGCACCGGCUAACUCCGUGCCAGCCGCCGCAGUAAAAC